CUGAGAGAUGACCCAGACUACAAAGGUCGUUUGGCGUACCUUAGCAAUAAGACGAAUGGACACACCCUGACAAUCACACACCUGAGAGAGAGUGACUCAACUACGUACAAGUUCAGAUUUAUAACAAAUCAGACUGGAGGGAAAUAUUUUGGGAGCCCUGGAGUCACUUUGUCUGUUACAGACCUGCAGGUGAAGGUGACCACUACAUGGUGGUCAACGACACUGACCUGUAGCACCACCUGUACUCUGACUGGUAACCCCACCUACAUCUGGUACAGGAACAGUAAGAUUGUACAAGAGUUCUCCUCCCCCUCAUACACAUUCUACUUUAAAACUGAAGACAGCUUCUACUGUGCUGUAAAAGGCAUCAAUUCUCCUGCAGUGUACGGCCCAAAGAACACCUCAGUGUCAGUCAGUCCCUCUGGUGAAAUAGUGGAGGGCAGUUCAGUGACUCUGACCUGCAGCAGUGAUGCCAACCCACCUGUGGACAAAUACACCUGGUACAAGACAAAACACAACAGGUCGAUGAGACAUCUUGGACAGAGAUACACCAUCCAUAACAUCAGCUCUGAAGACAGAGAGGGAUACUACUGUGAGGCUCUGAGCAUUAUAGGGAGAGAGACUAUCCCUGUCCAUAUUAAUGUUAUAUCAGUGUUUCCCUGGGUUCCUGUGUUGGGGGUGGGGGCUGUCCUGACUGCUGGAGCUCUGCUACUCACCAUCUACUGCACUCUGAAGAGGAGAUCCACAGGAGGAAGUGAUACCACUGCAGACACACAGAAUGUGAGAGACUCUCCCAGUGACACAGCCCCUCAGAUAGAUGCUGAGCCCUCCGAUUAUGAGAACUGGAGCAAACCACCACAGGACCUGGACAGUGACACAGACCCUCAGAUAGAUGCUGAGCCCUCCGAUUAUGAGAACCACAAAAGAACCGGGACUGAAGAGAACCACCACAGAACCUGGACCAAAGAGAACCACCAUAGAACAUGGACUGAAGAGAACCAAAACAGUACCUGGACUGAAGAGCAACAGCAUCAAACCAAAGCUAGGCCUCACAAUGCUAUUCUCUUACUAUCAUAAUGCUUUAUAGUCUAGAAGGUUUGAGACACUGAGCUUUAACUUCUGAGUAAGUGCUGGAAUUUAGAUUGUUCUCCUAAUGAUAAAUACAGUAUGUGUCUAGAUGAUCAAUACAGUAUGUGUCUAGAUGAUUAAUACAGUAUGUAUAUAGAUGAUAAAUGAUCAAUACAGUACGUGAAUAGAUUCUCAAUACAGUAUGUAUAUAGAUGAUCAAUACAGUAUGUAUCUAGAUGAUCAAUGGUAUAGAUUGUGCUUCUGCUAUUUUUCUAUAAGAUUUUGCCAUUUCCAG
ensembl:lncRNA